AAGAUGUCAAAAUUUCAUAUGAAGUUUGUAAAUAAGUCUACGAAUGGUAUUUUGGACCUGUGAAGUACAGACAGGGCCACUAAUUAUUGUCCCCUCACUGGUCCUGUGGUCUAGUGGGACAUUUUGAAAGGUAUAU